CUUCUCACUUCGGCAGCACAUACAGUAAAAUUGGAAACAUACAGAGAAGAUUAGCAAGGCCUCUGUGCAAGGAUGACACAUAAAUUCGUGAAGCAUUCUAUAUUUUA